rnacentral:lncRNA from 1 species
UGUCUAGAGCAAUGUUGCUUUUUAAGUUGGAAUUUGCCUUCUGACAUUAGCAUUAGGUUUUGUUGAGGUUUUGUGCUUUCAUCUUAACAGACAUUUCCCCCACCCCCACUCCCCCAAAUAAUAUAUAAUCUUAUUUGAGAUUCAAUCAGACAUCAGCAAUAUCUUGUGGACUAAUAUGCAAUUUUAAAUGAGUUAAAUAUUCAUGGUGAUUGAUACAACCUUGGUAUUAAUAAUCUAUUGUGAAAGAACUGUAAGAAUAAAUAGAAGCUGAUAAGCUUUAUGCUGGUGUGCACAUGAUUGCUGACCUUAGUAUUUUUUUAUCCUAUCUUUUUAGGGCUGAGAAAAGUACAAUUGAAGAGCAUGGAGCAUUCUGACGUGUGUAACUCUUUGUAUCAAAGGAAGCCUUACAUGGCACAAUUUGGAUGAUGUCUGGACUUAAACCCAUUAUCAGAAAAAGAUAAUGAUGCUGUUGUGAGAGCCAAAUGAAGGGACAGCACAUAAUAUCAUACACAAGAAAAUCAGAGGAGAUCUUGAAUGAGCAAAGAGGAUGUACAUGAUGGAGUUAUUUACCAGGCUCAGCAUCUCUAUCCGGCUGUGAACAAAGCUGUCACAGUGGUAAAUACUGUCAGAUAGAUUUCCUGUCUCCUUUUUUAAUAUGUGAAAGCAAAAGCAGAUGGCGUGCCUGCCUCCCUGAGACCAGAGAUCCCAAGCAGCAUGCAAAUGAUACAAGAAACUCGUAUACACUUCACUGCAAGAAGACUGCUAAGAAAUCCUGCCUGCUUCCACUGAAUCCCUUUAGCUGUUGACUUUCCCAAGGACAACUUUCCCCUAACGUGCAAGAGGCACACCAUAGGUGCAGUGUGCGUGAGACACUCUGGGCUGUCUUGACAAGUGUUGUCCGCUGGCAACGAGACAAAAACCAUACAAGCUGAAGUCUCUUAAUCAGAACUGAGUGUAUCUACACUUGCUGUCACAAGUAGGGAAACAAGGUGAUGCUUAACAGGAAUAAAUGAGGAAGGAGUGGGGGAAGGGGGAAAUCU